rnacentral:rRNA from 1 species
UACGAAGGGUGCAAGCGUUGUUCGGAAUCAUUGGGCGUAAAGCGCGCGCAGGCGGAUUGAUAAGUCAGGUGUGAAAUCUCGAGGCUCAACCUCGAAACUGCGCCUGAAACUGACUUUCUAGAAUCUUGGAGAGGGAAGGGGAAUUUCACAUGUAGGGGUAAAAUCCGUAGAGAUGUGAAGGAACGUUCGAGGCGAAAGCGCCUUCCUGGACAAGUAUUGACGCUGAGGCACGAAAGCGUGGGUAGCGAAAGGG